rnacentral:rRNA from 1 species
GUGCCAGCAGCCGCGGUAAUACGGAGGGUGCAAGCGUUAAUCGGAAUCACUGGGCGUAAAGGGUGAGUAGGUGGCCAAGUAUGUCAGGUGUGAAAUCCCGGGGCUUAACCCCGGAACUGCGCCUGAAACUACUUGGCUAGAGUCUCGGAGAGGAUAGUGGAAUUCCAAGUGUAGCGGUGAAAUGCGUAGAUAUUUGGAGGAACACCAGUGGCGAAGGCGACUAUCUGGACGAGUACUGACGCUCAAUCACGAAAGCGUGGGUAGCGAAAGGGAUUAGAUACCCCUGUAGUCCACGCCGUAAACGUUGCACACUAAGUUUCGGAGGAUUCGACCCCUUCGGAGCUCAAGCUAACGCGUUAAGUGUGCCGCCUGAGGACUACGGCCGCAAGGCUAAAACUCAAAGGAAUUGACGG